rnacentral:tRNA from 4 species
CGGGAUGUAGCGCAGCUUGGUCAGCGCGCCUGCUUUGGGAGCAGGAAGCCGGGAGUUCGAAUCUCCCCAUCCCGACCA